GAUGGCGAUAGUUCUUAUUUGGUCCAUGAUGUUAAUUGUACAAAUACAAUCAAUCACCUACCAUUAGGCUCUUCAUUUGAGAAGAGAGCCUCAGAACUUCUAGGAUUAUCUUGUGUUUAAAUAUAAAGCGGACUCUCGUAAUCACCACCCUAUUAACUAGAUAGAACUGCACACAUGAGGACACCCAGAAGACAAGAUUAGUCCUUAGCAGUCAUUUUUAAAUACAUCCUUGGAAAUGGGACAGUUUUUUGGAAGGAAGUCACGCAAUCCAAAUCAUGAAAAUGAGAACAAGAGGUUAAUUACAGGGAAAUUUGUAGAGUGUCUUUAAGUGUAGAGAAGUUUAGAAGGUUUAUGGACACCCCUUGAGACCAUCCUAGUCACUGGUUGGUUUAGUUUGGUGCACAAAGGAUGGUUAGAUCUUGAUGUCUUUUAUCUUUUCUUGUAAGUUUGACCCAUGUCACCCUGAUGUUUGUCUUCAAAGAAGACCUUAAUCUCUUUUUAAUAAAAUGGGAAUGUUGCAUCAUUUAAUAGGGCCGGUGUUGAUACCCCAAAAUCAUCUUCUGCAAUGAGUUGGUCAUUUGGAUUCAAUUGUUUUCUUCUUCCUCCGUAGUGAAGGUGUCACCUAAAGUAACCUCCGAAUUGUCAAAGGAUGGAAAGUGCAAACUUAUCUGCUCAUCGAAUGAAAACAUAGAAGACAAUGUGUACUGGACAAAAAAUGGUCAACAAUUGGGAAGUGGGACUGCUUCUAGCCAAAUGUUGUUGUUGACAAAGGAAGACCUCGGAGUGCCUUAUUCGUGUACGGCGGAGAAUCUACUCGGCCGGUGGUCAGUCCCCGUGACAGACAUUUGUAGAUGGAAAGAAAACAAGGGCAACAGACUUGAAACGAACAAAUAUGUCCUCAUCUCUACUGUAGUGGCUCUGCUGCUUUACAUGUCAUUGCACUGACUGAAUAUGUGGAGAAUGAAGACACCGGGCCCACUUCUCUACCCCAAUGUGAUCCCAGACUGUUUGGUCCAUCUUUAGACUCUCAUCCUGCAUCACCUCGGCAGACCACAAAUCGAAAACAGUGUGCAGUCAGUCGGGCUUGAGUUCCCUGCAAAAUGUUCAACAAUGUCUCACCACUUGCAAUGUAUUCCCAGACUAUUUUACCUUUAUUAGACCUGGCGUUACCUUUUCAGCAAAGCUGAAUUUCUUGCAGUGGAGAAAAUAAGUGAAAGUGUUUUAAUGGGUGUGAACAUCAGAACAUCUGAUCUUCAUUCCAGUGUCAUCAACAUGAUAUAACAUUACUAAGUCUACUUACUUUAAUAAUAAUGGAUAAUGAAAGACCAAAACCUGAGCCAGCAGUACUGGUAAUGAGCAAAGAAAGAGCCCUGGACUGGGUGCUGGUCCAUCAUGGGGGCUACUCAAGCACAUACCCACACUCACGCUGGAGCCACUUUAUAGUCACAGGGGAUCUGGAAGGAAAAGUAGAGCAUCCAAAGGAAAGCCCAGGUAGACACAAGAAGAACGUGCAGAAUCCAUACAGACAAUGAGAGGCGUUUCAAGGUUAAGUUGUUCUGCCGGCUAAUCACGGCGCCAUGAGAGUGGCCUCACAAGUAGGAAUGUAAGGACAUUCACAAGUAAGUGCAAGUAAGAAUUCCACUGUACUCCAUACAUGUGACAAUAAUGACCCCACACAUCCAUAAACAAGGUACACGAUUUGAACACGGUACGUUGUGUCCACGAAUCAGCAGCACUAACUAUUGUGCUUCUAUGCCAUCAUUUCUAUUAAAUCUCUAAUUCUACCUGAAAACACUGACACAUACACUUUAGAAUUGUUCAG